rnacentral:rRNA from 1 species
UUCAGGGGUAAACCUGAGAAACCCGAAAGGUCGAAAGGGGAAAUUCAUUCGCGUCUCGACCGUCGGAGUGGGGCGAUCGAGUGACGGACGGCGUACGCGUCGUCCGCGCCUUUCGUUCUAUUAUUCGGCGUCGAACGCGUGCACUUUUCCCCUAGUAGGACGUCGCGAUCCGUUGGGUGUCGGUCUAAGGCUCGCGGUGGAGCCCGGGCGUACGUCUUCGGGCGUUUGCGCUCGGACCCGCGGUGUCCCGGCCGACCCGCUCGACGGUAUACAGAUGGCGCGGGGCCGCUACUUUAGUUAGCGUUCGGCCCGCGGCAAGCGCGUACGGUGUUGGCGGCGAUCGGACCUAGCGCCGAUCCCGUCCCCGGACGACUGUUGGCUGCGGUGUUCUCGAACAGACCCUGGUUUUGAAACGCCGAUCUGCGACGCUAUAGCUUUGGGUACUUUCAGGACCCACGGACCAAGGAGUCUAGCAUGUGCGCGAGUCAUUGGGACAUAACUAAACCUAAAGGCGCAAUGAAAGUGAAGGUUCGCCUCGCGCGAACCGAGGGAGGAUGGGCGGUUCGUACUUCGUGCGGCCGCUCCGCACUCCCGGGGCGUCUCGUUCUCAUCGCGAGAAGAGGCGCACCAAGAGC